rnacentral:rRNA from 1 species
CAGUGGCAGACGGGUGAGUAACACGUGGGAACGUACCCUUCGGUUCGGAAUAACUCAGGGAAACUUGAGCUAAUACCGGAUACGCCCUAUUGGGGAAAGGUUUACUGCCGAAGGAUCGGCCCGCGUCUGAUUAGCUUGUUGGUGGGGUAACGGCCUACCAAGGCGACGAUCAGUAGCUGGUCUGAGAGGAUGAUCAGCCACACUGGGACUGAGACACGGCCCAGACUCCUACGGGAGGCAGCAGUGGGGAAUAUUGGACAAUGGGCGCAAGCCUGAUCCAGCCAUGCCGCGUGAGUGAUGAAGGCCUUAGGGUUGUAAAGCUCUUUUGUCCGGGACGAUAAUGACGGUACCGGAAGAAUAAGCCCCGGCUAACUUCGUGCCAGCAGC